GGGUAGGGUGGGGAGAAAGGGGCUUUGCUUGGGGGGCAUUAAGUAGUGGUAAAAUAAUUGGAAAAAAGAUAGGCAUAAGGGUUGUAUACAACAUAAAGAGUGUAAUGAAUGUCCUUGGAUUGUACAUGUAAAAAUUGUUGAAUUGGCAAAUGUUUUGUUGUGUAUGUUUGCACACACACACACACACACACACACACACACAUUCAUUAUUGGUCUAUUUCUCAAGGUAACAACAGCCUGGAAAGUUAGAGCAUGAAUUCUUGAUAGCCCUUUAUUAGCCAUUGGAUUAAAACCACUUUCCUAGCAAACUUUAAAAAAGACAAAAUGGUUGAUUUGCUCUUUGAGAAUGGAGUUACUGAGACAGGAAGUCUGCAGAGUAGACUGGGAACAUCAUGGGCCACAAUGGGACACUGUGAUCACAGCAGGAAAUGCCAUUUGGAAAACACUUUCUCAGUGAAGAGGGCCAAGGAAGAGUUAAGGUCCACGAUUAGACAGAUGGCUAAAACACAGUGUGUUGUAAAAUUUUAUUUAAAAUUUCACCUUCAAUUUCUGUUGGACUCACCCUUUGCCAGAGGCGAGGUGGACACAAAGAGUGAAAGAAAACAUGAAGAAAGAAUAGGAAGACGAAGACCAGGAAAUUCACAAAUUAGUUUCUUGGAUAAUCAAGACUCACGCUGUACUAGGAGAAUAGAGUUUGGUGAAGGAGAUGGAUAUGUGAACAAGCAAUUGCAUUAUGGCAGGUAGUUAUAACGCAGCGUCUGGAGACAAUUCAGCAGAAGUACAGAACAGAGAUCAUACUGCAUGGGGAUCUGUGGAGACUCUCACAGGCAGGUGCUGAGGUCACUCUCGGUCAACAGACAUCGAUUGCAUUCCUACCAUGCUCCAAUGGAAGAGAGACACGUACAUAUACUCUCAGUACAGUGAGGUGCAGCUCUGGAGUAUUACACCACGGUGCUAUGAAAGUAGAAAGCAAAGGCACCGAACUCAGCCUGGAAGGGGAAGGAGGUGCAUGGAGGUCAGGGGAGUCAGUGUGGAGGAGAUCGUGCCUGAGCUGGGUCUUAAUGACCAAUUGGAGUUACCCAGUGCCUUAGGCAACCAUGGCCAGGCUGAGGAGCAGUCUGGGAGGAAUCUGCCAGUACUGGAUAAAAUAGUGAGACUGUCUGCACUUUAGCUCUCUUAUAAAGGAGAAGAAACAGAGGGAGAGAGACAGAAGGAAGACAUCCUGUGAAGAUGGAGGUAGGGGUUGGAGUGAUGCUGCCACAAGCCAAGGAACACCUGGGACCACCAAAAGCUGGAAAGACAGGAAGCAUUGCCCCCUAGGGCCUUCAGACAGAAGAGCAUGACCCUGCUAAGAACCUGAAUUUGGACUGCCAGCCUCUGAAGCCAUAAGACAACAAAUUUCUGUUGUCAUCAGCCACCAAGUUUGUGGUACUUUGUCAGGGCAGCCCUAGGGCAUUAAGACUGACUCGUUUAUACAUUGACUAUGUUCCUAUUGAUGAAGUAAGUUUGGAGUCACAAAGUUUGUUGAUGGACCCCUUCAUCUUUCUGGGGUCUCUUGAAGAGUCUGAUGGAAGUUAUGAACUUUCUCCCCAAAGUACACUUGGGCAUACGGCACAGCAUAAAGUCCUUAUAGAUGCCAUCUCGAGAGCCUCUGUGUGUAGAGGCUCCCAGACAUCAUGCCUGCCUCACGAAGCAGCA